UACGUAGGGGGCAAGCGUUGUCCGGAAUCAUUGGGCGUACAGAGCGUGUAGGCGGCCCGAUUAGUCCGCUGUGAAAGUCCAGGGCUCAACCCUGGAAUGCCGGUGGAUACUGUCGGGCUAGAAUCCGGAAGAGGCGAGUGGAAUUCCUGGUGUAGCGGUGAAAUGCGCAGAUAUCAGGAGGAACACCAAUGGCGAAGGCAGCUCGCUGGGACGGUAUUGACGCUGAGACGCGAAAGCGUGGGGAGCAAACAGG
rnacentral:rRNA from 1 species